rnacentral:misc_RNA from 1 species
UCGAGGGGGCUACGGCCCCGAAGGAUGUAGGCCAGUCAGAAUUGCAGUCUGUUGGGCGCAAUGCUCUACCUGCUGAACUCAUGGCGGGUGGAGGAUCCAAGAUGCGCAAUUCACACAAUGAUUGGCCGGCAUCAUGUAUAUUGUAACCCUUGUCUAUCAGUACCACCGUUUCCUCAGCAGGUCCGCUUGCUAAUGGGGACCCUAUUCAACCUUUUUUAUGUAUAUAGUAACCGUAAACAAACAAAUAAUCA